rnacentral:rRNA from 1 species
CCAGACUCCUACGGGAGGCAGCAGUGGGGAAUAUUGCACAAUGGGGGAAACCCUGAUGCAGCAACGCCGCGUGAAGGAAGACGGUUUUCGGAUUGUAAACUUCUAUCAAUAGGGAAGAAAGAAAUGACGGUACCUAAAUAAGAAGCCCCGACUAACUACGUGCCAGCAGCCGCGGUAAUACGUAGGGUGCGAGCGUUAAUCGGAAUUACUGGGCGUAAAGGGUGUGCAGGCGGCUGAGUAAGACAGAUGUGAAAUCCCCGGGCUUAACCUGGGAACCGCAUAUGUGACUGCUUGGCUAGAGUGCGUCAGAGGGAGGUGGAAUUCCACGUGUAGCAGUGAAAUGCGUAGAUAUGUGGAAGAACACCGAUGGCGAAGGCAGCCUCCUGGGACGCAACUGACGCUCAUACACGAAAGCGUGGGGAGCAAACAGGAUUAGAUACCCCAGUACAU